rnacentral:lncRNA from 1 species
UGCAGUCGUUACUCAGAAACUUUUAAUACCACCUGUGCCACUGGUCCUAGUUUCCAAGUAGAAUAUAAUAACCUUAAUUGGAGAGACAUCUCUUUUUGACUGAGACCUUUGCUAGAUUGAAGCUGAUGUUUGAAAUGAAUUCAGCUACAUAAGGAAAAUUAUAUUUAAGAGAAAAAACAUGAAAUUUCAAGUGCGUCACCUAGAGGAUUUAAGCAGAAAUCCUGGACUCACAGAUCAUUUACUCUUUGUAACAGCUAUAGUUUCCACACCACAGCAUAACUCAGGACAUUAAAGGUACUACAGACAACUCAAUGUAUGCAAACCACAAUGACUAACCCUGGAACCCUGGAAAGAAUGUACACAGUAGCAGGAGCCUACAGAAGACUGCAAGAAGAUGGGGAAAUGCAAAAAUGAAAUAUAAAAUGAAACAAAGUAAAAUCUAAAUGGAUACCUGAGAUGAGUAAUGAAAUUUUCAUUGCCAUUUUUGGAUUUACUCUCCUAACUAAUCUCCAAGGUAAUGCAAACUAAGUUAGAAGAAAGCUUUUCUGAGUCAAUCGGGGUCCCAAGAAGCAAACUGAAGGCCCACUGUGUGUAGGCACUGGUUUUCUGCACCACACCCUGGCUCACUGCCUUCUCCAAGCCCUCCAAAGACUGUUAGUUUAGGCAUCUAGGAGAAAACAUUUCAGAACUUGUAUGUCCCAACAUCAUGCUAUUUGAAAUAUCACUUUUCUCAGAAAAAG